rnacentral:sRNA from 1 species
UCAAUUUGUUAAGGUGAGUGCGUGACCAUGAGCUUAUCUGAGUGAUUGGGUUGUGUGAUUUGUUUUGUGUGAUGAUAUGUAGGUGUCGUGAAUAUGUUUUGGGUGAAUUGUUCAAUGACUGGUUUGUUUGUAUUGUAUUUGUGAUUAUACCCUUUUAUUUGCUUGUGUGUAUAGCUCGUAGAUGGGAGGAUCGCCUCACUAAGUAUUUAUGAUAAUACUUACGCAUCUCAUUGUGUUAUUGAUGCAGGUAAAGAUAAAGUGUGAUCGUGGAAUCAUGGCAAGGAAGAGAGGAUGAUCUAAAAACUCGUUUGUUUUAUUUUUGUGUUUUUGGUUAUUGGAACCCGGUUAGGAUUUGUUAGUUAUUCUUAGUUUUGUUGGUCGAAUUAUUUAUUUAUUCAUAUAAUAGUAUUUUUGACUUGCGGUUUAAUUGUUAUUUUAUUGGUUGGUUUAAUUAGAUAUGUAUGGGUAUAUUU